GGGACACUUGAGACAGUAUAUUUAUUGCACACAAGAGGUUUGAGUAAGGACACAUGAAAGGUAGAGAGUACGCAACAGGAUUGAUCCUACAAAGGACACGAAAAGGUCCAAGGAACCCAGGAGCAAAUUUCAUGCUAGGGACUUUGAGCCUGAUGUUACGAGAAGAUAACCAAACCCUCUCACCCACUUGGUAAACAGGGUUGGCACCUCGACGUGUAUCAGCAUGAUGCUUGAAACGGUCAGCAGCAGUACCCAGAGCAGA